rnacentral:rRNA from 1 species
GUGGGGAAUAUUGGACAAUGGGGGGAACCCUGAUCCAGCCAUGCCGCGUGUGUGAAGAAGGUCUUCGGAUUGUAAAGCACUUUAAGUUGGGAGGAAGGGCAGUAAGUUAAUACCUUGCUGUUUUGACGUUACCGACAGAAUAAGCACCGGCUAACUUCGUGCCAGCAGCCGCGGUAAUACGAAGGGUGCAAGCGUUAAUCGGAAUUACUGGGCGUAAAGUGCGCGUAGGUGGUUUUGUAAGUUGGAGGUGAAAUCCCCGGGCUCAACCUGGGAACUGCCUCCAAAACUGCAUGACUAGAGUACGGUAGAGGGUAGUGGAAUUUCCUGUGUAGCGGUGAAAUGCGUAGAUAUAGGAAGGAACACCAGUGGCGAAGGCGACUACCUGGACUGAUACUGACACUGAGGUGCGAAAGCGUGGGGAGCAAACAGGAUUAGAUACCCGAGUAGUCC